rnacentral:rRNA from 1 species
UGCGUAGGCGGACUAAUAAGUCAGUGGUGAAAUCUUUCGGCUCAACCGAGAAACUGCCAUUGAUACUGUUAGUCUUGAGUUCGGUUGAGGUAGGCGGAAUGUGUAAUGUAGCGGUGAAAUGCUUAGAUAUUACACAGAACACCAAUUGCGUAGGCAGCUUACUAGACCGACACUGACGCUGAGGCACGAAAGCGUGGGAAGCGAACAGGAUUAGAUACCCUGGUAGUCC